rnacentral:rRNA from 1 species
UGCCAGCAGCCGCGGUAAUACGGAGGGUGCAAGCGUUAUCCGGAUUUAUUGGGUUUAAAGGGUGCGCAGGCGGUUCUUUAAGUCAGUGGUGAAAGCGUCCGGCUUAACCGGAUACCCGCCAUUGAUACUGGGGAACUUGAGUACGUCUGAGGAGAUUAGAAUGCGUGGUGUAGCGGUGAAAUGCAUAGAUAUCACGCAGAAUACCGAUUGCGAAGGCAGAUCUCUAGGGCGUAACUGACGCUGAGGCACGAAAGCGUGGGUAGCGAACAGGAUUAGAUA